GACGAACGCUGGCGGCGUGCUUAACACAUGCAAGUCGAACGGAAAGACCCUGCUUUUGUGGGGUGCUCGAGUGCCGAACGGGUGAGUAACACGCGAGUAACCUGCCCUUGACUUUGGGAUAACUUCAGGAAACUGGGGCUAAUACCGGAUAGGAGCUCCUGCUGCAUGGUGGGGGUUGGAAAGUUUCGGCGGUUGGGGAUGGACUCGCGGCUUAUCAGCUUGUUGGUGGGGUAGUGGCUUACCAAGGGUUUGACGGGUAGCCGGCCUGAGAGGGUGACCGGCCACAUUGGGACUGAGAGACGGCCCAGACUCCUACGGGAGGCAGCAGUGGGGAAUAUGGCGCAAUGGGCGGAAGCCUGAUGCAGCAACGCCGCGUGCGGGAUGACGGCUUUCGGGUUGUGAACAGCUUUCGCAUGUGACGAAGCGUGAGUGACGGUAAUGGGUAAGGAAGCACCGGCUAACUACGUG
rnacentral:rRNA from 1 species